rnacentral:tRNA from 5 species
GACCCAGUAGCUCAGUUGGCAGAGCACCUGCCUUUUAAGCAGGGUGUCCGGAGUUCGAAUCUCCGCUGGGUCACCA